rnacentral:rRNA from 1 species
GACGGGUGAGUAAUGUCUGGGAAACUGCCUGAUGGAGGGGGAUAACUACUGGAAACGGUGGCUAAUACCGCAUAACGUCGCAAGACCAAAGAGGGGGACCUUCGGGCCUCUUGCCAUCAGAUGUGCCCAGAUGGGAUUAGCUAGUUGGUGAGGUAACGGCUCACCAAGGCGACGAUCCCUAGCUGGUCUGAGAGGAUGACCAGCCACACUGGAACUGAGACACGGUCCAGACUCCUACGGGAGGCAGCAGUGGGGAAUAUUGCACAAUGGGCGCAAGCCUGAUGCAGCCAUGCCGCGUGUAUGAAGAAGGCCUUCGGGUUGUAAAGUACUUUCAGCGGGGAGGAAGGUGUUGUGGUUAAUAACCACAGCAAUUGACGUUACCCGCAGAAGAAGCACCGGCUAACUCCGUGCCAGCAGCCGCGGUAAUACGGAGGGUGCAAGCGUUAAUCGGAAUUACUGGGCGUAAAGCGCACGCAGGCGGUCUGUCAAGUCGGAUGUGAAAUCCCCGGGCUCAACCUGGGAACUGCAUUCGAAACUGGCAGGCUUGAGUCUUGUAGAGGGGGGUAGAAUUCCAGGUGUAGCGGUGAAAUGCGUAGAGAUCUGGAGGAAUACCGGUGGCGAAGGCGGCCCCCUGGACAAAGACUGACGCUCAGGUGCGAAAGCGUGGGGAGCAAACAGGAUUAGAUACCCUGGUAGUCCACGCCGUAAACGAUGUCUACUUGGAGGUUGUGCCCUUGAGGCGUGGCUUCCGGAGCUAACGCGUUAAGUAGACCGCCUGGGGAGUACGGCCGCAAGGUUAAAACUCAAAUGAAUUGACGGGGGCCCGCACAAGCGGUGGAGCAUGUGGUUUAAUUCGAUGCAACGCGAAGAACCUUACCUGGUCUUGACAUCCACAGAACUUUCCAGAGAUGGAUUGGUGCCUUCGGGAACUGUGAGACAGGUGCUGCAUGGCUGUCGUCAGCUCGUGUUGUGAAAUGUUGGGUUAAGUCCCGCAACGAGCGCAACCCUUAUCCUUUGUUGCCAGCGGUUAGGCCGGGAACUCAAAGGAGACUGCCAGUGAUAAACUGGAGGAAGGUGGGGAUGACGUCAAGUCAUCAUGGCCCUUACGACCAGGGCUACACACGUGCUACAAUGGCGCAUACAAAGAGAAGCGACCUCGCGAGAGCAAGCGGACCUCAUAAAGUGCGUCGUAGUCCGGAUUGGAGUCUGCAACUCGACUCCAUGAAGUCGGAAUCGCUAGUAAUCGUGGAUCAGAAUGCCACGGUGAAUACGUUCCCGGGCCUUGUACACACCGCCCGUCACACCAUGGGAGUGGGUUGCAAAAGAAGUAGGUAGCUUAACCUUCGGGAGGGCGCUUACCACUUUGUGAUUCAUGACUGGGGUGAAGUCGUAACAAGGUAACCGUAGGGGAACCUGCGGUUGGA